CUACCGGCCUUAGCGGAUGAACAUAGCAGCGCUGGCGAUGCGUGGAGGAGAUGAGGACGAACAUGGGACGGAAUUGUGUGUGUUUCCUGAGUUCGCAGCUGCAGUGCAGACAAGACAUGAAGAUGCAAAGGUUCCUCACAUGAUGUAAAAUUAACACAUCAUUGAAAAGAUUAUGUACAUGAUGUAGCCACAUGAUGUGCCUUUCUGAUUCAUUAUACCCAAUGAGUGCAGAACAUCUUCCUCUGGACUCGAAAGUGCACUUAGAAGCAACUGUGGCCUGUCACAACAAAGGAGAAAGACAUUUGGGAAGAAACCGAAUCCAAGUUUACAUGAUACAGUAGUGUCACUUCCUACAUGAGGGUUUAGCCUCAUUGGAACCAUAACACUAUGGGGCAGAAGUACAGGAUUUCUGUUUCUCCUCUACCACCCAAAGGGGAAGGUUGAAAAUAAGGAUUUGGAAGACUGCAAGCUGUUUAUCCAGUAUCUAAGAUCUCCCUGGUGUAACCAUAUGAAUGGCUACAUUUCAGCAAUAGAAGAUUUUUAUUACAGGUGCUGUUUUUAAGCAGAAGAGUCUAGAAAUGCAGUAAUCUCAGCGGUUUUCCUGUUUGUGCAUAUCAAAAAUAAAGCAACCUAUUAGAAAUGA